rnacentral:rRNA from 1 species
UACGGAGGGUGCGAGCGUUAAUCGGAAUUACUGGGCGUAAAGCGCACGCAGGCGGUUUGUAAAGCUAGAUGUGAAAGCCCCGGGCUCAACCUGGGAUGGUCAUUUAGAACUGGCAGACUAGAGUCUUGGAGAGGGGAGUGGAAUUCCAGGUGUAGCGGUGAAAUGCGUAGAUAUCUGGAGGAACAUCAGUGGCGAAGGCGACUCCCUGGCCAAAGACUGACGCUCANGUGCGAAAGUGUGGGUAGCGAACAGG